AGUCCGUCUGACAAUUUAGGAUAGAACUGUCAACGCAGCAAUGAACAAGGUCUACUUUCUUUCAGCUUCUAUAUGGACAAUUCUGAUAAUAACAGAUGUAGGCUUGUUAUCAGGAAUCGAUUGUGUCGGGACAGACUAAAAUAGUCACGUUAGGAUGUAUAAAUAACAAGCAAUGCGGGGCUUCAACAACUGAUUCUUUGACUGUGAUUGGUCGAGAUAUAAAAAGGCGACAAGAACAAAAAUGCCUAGAAUGCUGUGGUACUGAUCGAUGUAACGAAAUUCUUUGUGCUCAUAGAAACCCUGCUGCAUGCAUUGAUGACGAAACAAUAGACUGCCCCAGAAUGAACUCGGUAUUUGGAAUUUGCAAAGAUAUAAAUCACGCUAAAUCUUUGUGCCCUGACUUUUGUAAUCUUUGUGGUGUUG